rnacentral:pre_miRNA from 1 species
UCGGAAUCAAUCUGUUUCGUGAGCUUAAGUAGAUUCUAUUUGGCUAUGUUUAAUUAUUCAAGCCGGAUUGAGUUUACUUAUUCUUACGACAGACAAUUAGGCGAU